rnacentral:rRNA from 1 species
UACGAAGGGUGCAAGCGUUACUCGGAAUUACUGGGCGUAAAGCGUGCGUAGGUGGUUUGUUAAGUCUGUUGUGAAAGCCCCGGGCUCAACCUGGGAAUGGCAAUGGAUACUGGCAAGCUAGAGUGCGGUAGAGGGUAGUGGAAUUCCCGGUGUAGCGGUGAAAUGCGUAGAGAUCGGGAGGAACACCAGUGGCGAAGGCGGCUACCUGGACCAGCACUGACACUGAGGCACGAAAGCGUGG